UAGCAGUCAGGUCAAGCAUGUUUGCUGCAUCAGGCUGAAGAAGAGAGAAAAUAUUAAAAAAAACCAAAAAACCAUAAAAACACCAGCCACCUUAAGAAAUUUCCAGCACAGUUAAUCACCUCUUACCAAUCUACACUGCAGUGGGAGAGCAGCCCUUAUCUUGGAAGGUGCAUUCCCCGAACCAUCUUCUGGUUGCAAAGAUUUCUGAAAGAAGCCACGUCAAUGAAACAAAGCCUGCCACUAGGAAGGAGCAUGCAAAACUUGCAGAAAAUCUUCAUAUGUUGUCAUUUAAUAUUAAGUCAUAGCUAUGACAGUAGUUUUCCACCUCUUUCCUCAAACUGCUAAUAAACCAUUGGAAUUGUAUAAACCCAUCAGUAAACUGCACUCAGCAGUACUCUAAGAAAGGACUUGUAACUCUACUGGCACAAAAUCUACA